rnacentral:pre_miRNA from 1 species
UCACGAAUCGCUGGGGAGCUCGUUAAAAUGCAGAUUCUGACUCCGUGCGUGAGGUUAGCAGCCCGAGAGUCUGCAUUUCUAACGAGCUCCCAGGUGAUGUAGCG